GGCGGAUGUAGCCAAGUGGUUC
rnacentral:tRNA from 1 species